rnacentral:lncRNA from 1 species
AUUAUUGGUUCACCAAUCUACUAGGCUUUGAAUUUCAUGGUAAUGUUUUAUUUUUGAGUGCAUACAAGCAUGAUUUCGCCUUUAAUUGUUAAUUGCAUGCUAUAUGAUGUUGCUCAAAUGAACAUGUUUUCCCAAAAGAUUUCCUUCAACAUGGCACCAAAUUUUAGUUCCAAUAUUCAUGCUUAAAUGAACUACAUCUACA